rnacentral:lncRNA from 1 species
CAACCCUAGAUCAAUUCAAAGUGCCUUCAAACUCCCCAGUGAUGGUGGAUCUAGGGACCAUUGAAGCAGGAAGGAGGAUAUGGUCACUCACUCUAGAUUGAAUGAAAACACUACAGAAAAAGUGGUUUUUGCCGACGCUUUAAAAAGCGUCGGCAAUAGACGAUGCUAAUUAGCAUCGUUGUAGUGUUUCACCUAAGACGACGCAUCGUCAGAAGCAAAAUACACAACAAAACCUAGCGGUCGUUCCCCUCCUUCUCAUUUUGCAUCCCGAUCAAGGCUAGCCCUAGCUCCUCUCCUCCUCCCUCCUCUCUGAUGAUGAGUAGCCGAUCUUUUUUCUCUCCGGUGCCGAGCGUCGUC